rnacentral:lncRNA from 1 species
AUGAAUACAUGGUACUUUGGUUUGUAGGUAUAAGCUUUGAUACCAUGUGAAUUUUCACAACACUGAUUCAAUUCUUGAUUCCUUUGAUCAAAUACAUUGAGAUAGGCCUUAUAGGAAAGGGAAUUGCAUCUAUCAAUGAGCAAAAAGAUAAGAAAAGGAUAGGUAGUAACUUGUGCUUAAUUGUUAGAGGAUGGAUUGUA